rnacentral:rRNA from 1 species
AUUGAACGCUGGCGGCAGGCUUAACACAUGCAAGUCGAGCGGAGCGAGGGUGCUUGCACCUUAGCUUAGCGGCGGACGGGUGAGUAAUGCUUAGGAAUCUGCCUAUUAGUGGGGGACAACAUUCCGAAAGGAAUGCUAAUACCGCAUACGCCCUACGGGGGAAAGCAGGGGAUCUUCGGACCUUGCGCUAAUAGAUGAGCCUAAGUCGGAUUAGCUAGUUGGUGGGGUAAAGGCCUACCAAGGCGACGAUCUGUAGCGGGUCUGAGAGGAUGCUCCGCCACACUGGGACUGAGACACGGCCCAGACGCCUACGGGAGGCAGAAGUGGGGAAUAUUGGACAAUGGGCGGAAGCCUGAUCCAGCCAUGCCGCGUGUGUGAAGAAGGCCUUUUGGUUGUAAAGCACUUUAAGCGAGGAGGAGGCUCUUAAGGUUAAUACCCUUGAUGAGUGGACGUUACUCGCAGAAUAAGCACCGGCUAACUCUGUGCCAGCCGCCGCCGUAACAC